CUGCGUGGAGCGCUCCCUCCCCAUCUAUCUCUCUCUCUCUCUCUCUCUCUCUCUCUCUCUGUAUCUCUCUAUUUUCAUCCUCCCAUUCUUCCCUUCCCCAGCACUCUCCACCAGCGAAAAAAAAAAAAAAAACAAGAUCGAGGGAAAACGAGUGUGGAACAGCAAUCAAGAUAAUAAAAAUGGAAACUAGAGAGUGCGAGAGAAGCAUAGAAAAAGAGAGAGUGAGUAUGUGUGACAGAGGAAGAGAGGUAAAAUAAAUUAUUCCUCCCGGUCGCGGUCGUAUAAGUCUCUGGCACGCAAAACUGAGCCGCCUCACUGUAGCGCGCAGGGCUGUGCGCUCCUUCAGCCAGCUAAUCCCGUGGACUAAAGCUCCGCGCUUGGCGUUUCAAGGCAUGGGGAUGCACAGGUUUGGCGUUCGGCACAGAAAGUCGAAGCCCAUCACGGUCUCCCCGGCCGUACACCGCUGAACAGUUGCUGCUCAUGUGGUGACUACAGCGACAAGGUGUAUGGCACGGUCCCCAACAUCAGAGAGAAUGGAGACAAAAUCGCUGUGUGGAAGACUGAUUAUGAGAACAUGCAAACAUGACCCAUAUAAGUCACAGGAGGGUGUAUAAGGAGCGAUUAGGUGUGCCACAGAAGCUGACCAUCGGCUACCAGUCCUACCAGACACUGCAACCAAGAGUGGCUCCACCACCAAGAACAAGUUCAUCGUCUGAUGACCCAUACCAGACCCAUACUUUUUUUUUAAAAGCUUUUUUUUUAAAUUUUGUUUUCAAAUGACCACGUCACGCAAUCCACACCCAGGUUAAACCAAAGCUUCUUCAGAUGUAGAACGGACUGUGUUUCAUUGAAUCUGCCGAUAAAACCCUCAACCUGAACCACAAAAACAAAACAAAAAAUGUACUUGAAUUCUCACACAUGUGCAAUUAAAUUUGCAGAUUAACCUCAUAAGAAAAAAGGAAAGAAAAGUAACAAUGUCAAUAAUAAAUGAUUAGACCGCAGGAAAUUAUUUUUUGUAAUUGCUUUGUGCUUCUCUUUACAGCAGUGCUUUUGCUGUAAUCUUUAAUACUAUUAAAGCCUUUGAAUUUAUUUCA